AAUCCGUGCAUUGGACAUAUUCACAUCAAGUCCUUAAAUCUUUCUUUCGCCUCGUAUAAGCUCUCAUCUUCUAACUGUUUGAAGGAAGUAAGGUCGUUCCAGAGUUU